rnacentral:rRNA from 1 species
AACGAACGCUGGCGGCGCGUCUUAUACAUGCAAGUCGAACGGCAGGAAGGGGCUUGCCCCUUCUGAGAGUGGCGGACUGGUGAGUAACACAUGGGUGACAUACCUUUUAGCUGGGGAUAGCUAUUAGAAAUAGUAGGUAAUACCGAAUGUGACCGUACCUGUUAGAGGGGUACGAGGAAAGGAGCUAAGGCUUCGCUAAAAGAAUGGCUCGCGGCCCAUUAUGCUCGUUGGUGAGGUAACGGCCCACCAAGGCGAUGAUGGGUAUCCGGCCUGAGAGGGUGAACGGACACAUUGGGACUGAGAUACGGCCCAGACUUCUACGGGAGGCAGCAGUUAAGAAUAUUCCGCAAUGGACGAAAGUCUGACGGAGCGACGCCGCGUGGAUGAAGAAUGCCGAAAGGUUGUAAAAUCCUUUUAAGCCUGAUGAAUAAGCACAGUAGGGAAUGAUUGUGCGGUGACCGUAGGGCUUGAAUAAGCACCGGCUAAUUACGUG